CUGUGUCCCUGCCCCGGGGAGCAGACAGCAAGUUUCUUUUAUUUAUUCUUUUCUUUCCCCCCAUCUUUUUACUUUGCAUUGAGACAGAUGUGGUGGCCCGCCUGGUCUCUGAAGGGCAAGAGAAACACAACCUCAGUCUUAAGCUAUUGUGGUAGUGAGAGGAGCGUGCCAGCAGAUCUGAGUGAAACGGGAUAAUGGGGAUCUGCCUCCCUGAAAAAUGCUGUUGCUGGAGCAGAAGUGCCUGUAUAUGAACUUCUUGGAGAAUUUUAGGUAGCACUGUGAAUUAUGCCAUGGGGGAUUGAAGCAGUGAAGGGAAGCUUGGUGUGUGACACCUUAUCCAGCACUGUAAUCAGCAGUAUCCAAGUCUGCGGACACAUGGCCGAUAAUCUGAAUACCAGUUUUUAGUGGCAACUGCUAUCCCCAUCUGUUUUCCUGCGGCUCUGAAUGACUUCAUUUGAUACUUAUGUUCCCUGUUUCCUUGUACGCAUUGGAAUGCAGCCCACUUGAGAAAACAUGUAAUUCAAUUAACUUUCCCCAGGAAAAUGGGA